GAAGCAUCAAACAACAGUAAAAGCUCUGAUUAUCCGUUCAGUACACAUCGUUCUCUCGGUAAACAAAAUCUCUCACAAAUAUCUGAGAAAAACCUUCAAUAAAACUUCCAACGCAAUCGAUAACAAGUAACGGAGAUGAAUCCGAGGAUCAUCCCGCUCUGAUACCAUAAAAACGUAAGGAUUGAUGGCAAAGUUGAUGAAGAACUUAGUGAGAGAAAGAGAGAGAAACUGAAGAACUCUUUGGAACAACCGAGAGAGAAAUGAAUAAUGGUAAGGAUUGAAGGCAAAGUUGAUGAUGAACUGAGUGAGAGAAAGAGAGAGAAAUUGAAGAACUCUCUGGAACAACCGGGAGUCUAAAAUGAAUUUAUUGACCAAAAAUAUCUCUGCCCCUAUACAAAUAUACACACAUAAUAUGACUUUGGUCGGGUCAGCCGGCCCAAGUGUACAAUGUAAUAAAAAGAAAUUGGGCCAGAAUACAUUGAGGCCCAAAGCUGACUAAGCCUAUAAUAUACAGAAUAUACAAGGAACAUACACAGAUAUACAACCCAAUAUCAAUGUUCAAUGUUUAUGCUUAGGCUUAGAGGCCAAAUAAUCUUGUAGCUCAACAUUGUUCUUGUUAAUGGCAGUGGAGGGA
rnacentral:lncRNA from 1 species